rnacentral:rRNA from 1 species
UACGUAGGUGGCAAGCGUUGUCCGGAUUUAUUGGGUUUAAAGGGUGCGUAGGCGGCCUUGUAAGUCAGUGCUGAAAUAUCCCGGCUUAACCGGGAGGGUGGCAUUGAUACUGCAGGGCUUGAGUACAGAUGAGGUAGGCGGAAUUGACGGUGUAGCGGUGAAAUGCAUAGAUAUCGUCAAGAACACCUAUAGCGAAGGCAGCUUACUAAGCUGUAACUGACGCUGAGGCACGAAAGUGUGGGGAUCAAACAGG